ACCGUCUCAGGGUCGCACCUGGAGAGUUUCCAGUACUCUACCAAUCUCGACUACAGGAGGGAGAGUCAAGCAGAGGCAUAUCAUUCCAUUUCUAGCUUGGGCAGUGGCUAGUGAGUGGAAGGCAAUCUGCUAAAAGU